rnacentral:rRNA from 1 species
GACGAACGCUGGCGGCGUGCUUAACACAUGCAAGUCGAAAGAAGUGGGAACGGGUGAGUAAUACGUGGGUAACCUCCCUCCUUUUUGGGAUAAGCCUUGGAAACGGGGUCUAAACCGAAUAGAGGGGCUCUCGGCCUAUCAGCUUGUUGGUGGGGCGAUGGCAUACCAAGGCGGUGACGGGUAGCCGGCCUGAGAGGGUGACCGGCCACAUUGGGACUGAGAUACGGCCCAGACUCCUACGGGAGGCAGCAGUGGGGGAUAUUGCACAAUGGGCGAAAGCCUGAUGCAGCGACGCCGCGUGAGUGAAGAAGGUUUUCGGAUCGUAAAACUCUGUUGUUAGAGAAGCGGUAUCUAACCAGAAAGCCACGGCUAACUACGUGCCAGCAGCCGCGGUAAUAC